rnacentral:rRNA from 1 species
GCGUAAUCACUUGUUCUUUAAAUGAGGACUAGUAUGAACGGCACCACCAAGGUUAUACUGUCUCCUUUCCCUAAUCAGUGAAACUAAUCUCCUCGUGAAGAAGCGAGGAUAAAAAUAUAAAACAAGAAAACCCUAUGGAGCUUUAAACAAUGCGACAACUGCUACUAGUCUAUUUAAGGCCCCAGAGUCUCUAAGUUAAUUUAGCACUUUGACGCAAGUUUUAGGUUGGGGUGACCGCGGAGCAUAAUACAACCUCCACGCUGAAAGAAUCCUAUUUUUAGCCAAGAGCUACUACCCCAGGCACCAGCACACUGUCAUCUAUUGACCCAAUACAAUUGAACAACGAACCAAGUUACCCUAGGGAUAACAGCGCAAUCCACUUCAAGAGCCCCUAUCGACAAGUGGGUUUACGACCUCGAUGUUGGAUCAGGGUCUCCCAGUGGUGCAGCCGCUACUAAAGGUUCGUUUGUUCAACGAUUAAAACCC